CCCGUGCUUGAUUCGGGCUCGGCCCGAUCCUCCCACCCUUUGUGUACCUACCUCUGUUGCUUUGGCGGGCCGCGGUCCUCCGCGGCCGCCCCCCUCCCCGGGGGGGUGGCCAGCGCCCGCCAGAGGACCAUCAAACUCCAGUCAGUAAACGAUGCAGUCUGAAAAACAUUUAAUAAACUAAAACUUUCAACAACGGAUCUCUUGGUUCUGGCAUCGAUGAAGAACGCAGCGAAAUGCGAUAAGUAAUGUGAAUUGCAGAAUUCAGUGAAUCAUCGAAUCUUUGAACGCACAUUGCGCCCUUUGGUAUUCCGAAGGGCAUGCCUGUUCGAGCGUCAUUACAACCCUCAAGCUCUGCUUGGUAUUGGGCACCGUCCUUUGCGGGCGCGCCUCAAAGACCUCGGCGGUGGCGUCUUGCCUCAAGCGUAGUAGAACAUACAUCUCGCUUCGGAGCGCAGGGCGUCGCCCGCCGGACGAACCUUCUGAACUUUUCUCAAGGUUGACCUCGGAUCAGGUAGGGAUACCCGCUGAACUUAAGCAUAUCAUAGCCCGGAGGAA
rnacentral:rRNA from 1 species